AUCACGCAGUAGGACGCGACCUGAUGUGCCGACAGGCGGCCCAUUCCCUUGUGGAGUCCCAGCGCCAUGGGCGCAUCGGUUUGAUGAAGCCGAAAGCGGCAUCGGAUCGCGGCAGCUCAGUCGCCCAUCACGUCGCACGCUGGCCCGGAAGGAGAAGGCACACAUGCCUCGCACGUCAUGCGCGAAAGGGACUCCUCAUCUGCUCGACAUAAUGCGCGACGGUGCGGAUGGACCACAUGACGUUCCUCUAUCGAUCUUCCCAGGUUGGAGAGAGGAGCGCAACACAAGUCCAAGGAUGAUGUGAUGUCCCAGCUGUUCGGCUGGUGAGAUGUCAGGUGGGUGCUCGACGAAUUGCCUCAAAGAGGAAGUCGUCCUUCUCGGUGCUAACACACACGACGUUGACCUGAGCUUGGGAUCAUACAAUACAAAGAAAAGAUACAACAAUCAUUCUCCACUUAUAUCUACUCCCCAUUCCUUAUAAACAAGACAGGUGAGCAAAGUAGACGCAUGUUUACAAUGUAAGUAAAUUACUAUUUUCCACGUCUUUGGAGGAUAUUUUAGAUGAUGCGUUCGUUGUAUGUUUGAAUUGGUGGUACCAAAUUAUUUGGUCCUGUUCCGAUCCAUUAGCCACCAUAUCGUGUUCUUCCCACCACCUGCAUGCGACUAGCAUGCACGUUACGUGACGGCUGCGAUGCGGAUGCCACCUAUGUCAUUGACACGGUCCUUUGUACCACCUCGGUUGAUUGCCUUCACCGAAUCCCCGUCCUAUCUUUUCUUGUCUUUGCAUGAUGUAUGUAUGCAUCCAUGGAUUCCAUGCAUGCUUCUUGACCCGUGUAAUUGCCAUGCCGAGUACCUAUCUAUGCUUAAGAUGCUGCGAUAUGUCGAUUCCGCUUUGAAUCUUUCAAGUUUAUGUACUAAAUUGUCGAUUUAUGACUUAGUACAACCACCAAACAGAAAAUGUGAGGUGGUCACUGUUGCAGGGUCCCACUUUGCGAGAUGCUGAUUCCCUGUUCCCUGCCUGUGAUUCAACAGGAGAUCCGCUCGCUUAACGUGGCUGGUGUUGAACGCGCGUAGCCCCACUUGUGUCAUCCAAUAAGUUGAAUAGAUGAAUAGAUUGAGACGGAGAUAGCGCAGCAGCAGCAGCCGCAGUAGCAGCAGGCAGAGAGAGAGAGAGAUGGCGAGGAACAUGAUGGAGCUCGUGAAAAGGGGAAGGAACGGGUUGCCUCUUCUCCGAAUGGCCUCGCUCUUCUCUACUCAACAAGCGGUGGAUCCUGCGGCGGCUUCUCUGAAUCAACAAGGAAGCCACGCAAGAGUUCGAUAUGGUGAACGCAGCGCAGCUUAUUGGGAGGACGCCGAUGGUGUACCUGAACGAAGUGACUGAAGGUUGUCAUGCACAGAUCGCAGCAAAGCUUGACUUUUUGCAACCUUCCUUCAGCGUGAAGGACAGGUGUGACAUGUUGCCCUGUCUCUCAGCUUAUUGGGAGGACGGCCAAUGGUGUAUCUGAACAAAGUGACUGAAGGCUGUCAUGCACAGAUCGCAGCAAAGCUGGACUUUUUGCAACCUUCCUUCAGCGUGAAGGACAGGGGUGACAUGUUGCCCUGUCUCUUGUUUUCAUGCAGUCCGCGAGAAGUGGGCUUGUCCACCGUCUGACUGAUAGGCGAUUGCUCACCGCCUGCUUCUCUUUCUCUUGUAUUCUGGCCGGCUGUGGCCAUGAUAGAAGAUGCUGAGAAGAAUGGAGCUGAUGACUCCUGGCAAGGUUGUCACUCUUUGUUUUA